rnacentral:rRNA from 1 species
UAUUACGGCGAGUGAGCGGCAAAAGCUCAAAUUUGAAAUCUGGUACCUUCGGUGCCCGAGUUGUAAUUUGGAGAGGGCAACUUUGGGGCCGUUCCUUGUCUAUGUUCCUUGGAACAGGACGUCAUAGAGGGUGAGAAUCCCGUGUGGCGAGGAGUGCGGUUCUUUGUAAAGUGCCUUCGAAGAGUCGAGUUG